rnacentral:rRNA from 1 species
AGCAGCCGCGGUAAUUCCAGCUCCAAUAGCGUAUAUUAAAGUUGUUGCAGUUAAAAAGCUCGUAGUUGAAUUUCGGGACCAUCAUGUCGGUCGUGCCUCGGUACGUACUGGCAUUGUUGGUUUCUCCCUUCUGACGAACCAUGAUGUCAUUUAUUUGGUGUUGUGGGGAAUCAGGACUGUUACUUUGAAAAAAUUAGAGUGUUUAAAGCAGGCUCACGCUUGAAUACAUUAGCAUGGAAUAAUGAAAUAGGACGUUUGAUUCUAUUUUGUUGGUUUCUAGGGUCGACGUAAUGAUUAAUAGGGAUAGUUGGGGGCAUUAGUAUUCAAUUGUCAGAGGUGAAAUUCUUGGAUUUAUUGAAGACUAACUACUGCGAAAGCAUUUGCCAAGGAUGUUUUCAUUAAUCAAGAACGAAAGUUAGGGGAUCGAAGACGACCAGAUACCGUCGUAGUCUUAACCAUAAACUAUGCCGACUAGGGAUCGGAUGAUGUUAAUUUUUAAUGACUCAUUCGGCGCCUUAAC